UCACACACCCACACGCGCGCACGAUUACAGUAUUCCAGAUAAUACACAACCACCUGCUCAGCCACCACUCGCCAGUGACUCCCAAGCCGGCCUUUGUACGUUACUACGUUCAAUUACAUACUAAGUACAAACUCAUACACACACACGCAAACUCACACAUGGUCACAAAUCACAAUUAUUUGACGAUGAAUAACAAAUAGAGUUCCCGUGUAGUAUAUUAUGACAUGAUAAAAACUUUACAAUGAUUAAAAAUCCACACAGGCAUAGCAAGUCACAUGAUGUAUCCAAUAUUCCAAUAAGAUUUCUUGCAGUAUAUGCUCAGAAAUAUUCACACACAGACAUAGCAAGGAUAAACAUUGUACAUAUAUUGUUAUCCAACAACUACCAACCAUAUAACUAAGCGAGAAAUUCAAGAUUUGUUCAUACUGGCUGAACACAUUUAUGAUUAUAACGGUUCAUAUGUUGUAAUUCAACAAUUACCAACCAUAACCAAGCGAGAAAUUAAAUAUUUUUUGACACAGGAUGAACACAUUUAUUGUAACCCAUUAUAAUGUUCUAGCUGCUUCAAAUCGCAAUGGUCUUAAGCGUGCACAUCAUGUUGAAAGUUCAAAUGACGCAGUAAAUGUUUAAAAAACGCGCUUGAACAUUGUCAAUACCUUUGGUUUCAUUAAGACAGGUUUAUCGCUGUCAAAUACAAUCAAUUGGUAUUACAUGAAAAAUACAGAUAAUUUGAACAACUAUAGCACAUCUCUUGAAUCACUUAAGAAAGACUUAAUACAAUUCCUCAAAUAACUAUCGACAAAAUAUCCAAUCAAUUAUAACUUAAACUAGAAGCAACAUUUGACUGUCCGUAUGUGGAAAAUUGUGUAGUUAAGAUUUCACCCAGAGAAAUUUUUCUGAGAACACAUAUCGAGGCUAAGAUUAAUCUAGAUUUUGUCAAUCUUGUAUGUAAGGAAAACGUUAACAUGUCAUAUAAAUAUACACCUAUGGGUGGUUUAUCAUAUUCAACGCUACCAGAAGGCAUCAAAAAUAAAAAAGUUGUAAUUAACUCCCAAAAAAUAGACCAACAAGUGUUUCAAGUGGGAAAUUCUAGCAAAAAAUGUUUUGGAUUAUAACAAAAAUCUUGUAGCCAAAAAUGAUCCAACGUCAUCUGAUAGUCAUGUAUGUAGAAUUUGACUUCUUGUUAAAUAUGAAGAAAGCAAAGGCGAGAAUACAUCAGCAUUUCGAAAGACUGAGCCAAAUAGCUAUGGGGUUUUCGUAAAGGCUACAGAAAAUGUUCCCAUAGAUCUGCUAGGUUAUGCAACACCUAUAAUCUUGCUGCAAAAACUUAAUUUUGUUUCAUGUAUUUUACACAACUUAUCUAAUUACGAUGCUCACUUUAUAGUGACAGAGUUAGGAUACGACUCUAAUUCAACCUCAGUCAUUCCAAACAGCGAAGAAAAUUUUAUAUUCUUUUUCAAACACGGUUCCAACCAUUUCACAAUACGUUUUAUAGACUUUCGCUGUUUCAAUUCAUUGAAACUAUCAACACUUGCAGACAAUUUAAUAACACUGGGAUUCAAAAAGUUCAGAGAAAUCACAAAAGCAUUUGUAGCCAGACUAUGGAUUUCGUCACACAAAAAAAAAAUCUGUAAGUUUCUUCUUUCCUACAGAUAGUAGAGUUGAAGUCAUGAUUGAUCAUAUUAUUUUCAAAAUUAACAAAUUAAUAGCUAAUUUUACUCAACAAAUACAUUUUUAAUAAUAUUGAUAUAUAUAUAUAUUUUAUUUUCAUCUUUACACUAAUACUGACUGUUAUAUUUAUACAUAUUCUUGUCUGAAUUAUGUAAUUUGUAUAUAAUUGUAUAAAGAUCUUAAGAUAUGUGUACCUAUUUAUGUUUGCAUUAAGAACAAUAUGAAUUGUGAGUUUGUUUUCAUAGGAAAAAAAUUAUAUUUAUUAUGAUAUAGCUAGUUAUUAUAUAGGUAAUACCAUUGAGUAUAGAUAUAUGGUCUAUCUAUACUCAAUGGUAAUACAGUAGAACUCCAAUUAUCCGGACGUCCAAUUAACCGGACGAGAAAAAUACGACACGUGCCGUUAUUCAUACACGUGUUUCAUAAUUGUUUUUAGAUUAGAUAAAGAAUAGGUACUACAUAAUAUAUUAUUCUUAAUAAUAUCCGUCAUUCCAACGUAGGUAUAUUAAAAAUUAUCGAUAAUACAAUACAUAUACAUAUGUAUAACAUUUUACAAUAUUUCCACACAUACAUAGAUAUUAUUCUUAGUAAGUCAGUUGUUGUAUAAUCGUCGCACGGUAUAGUACAAUAGUACAAUAAAAUAAAUUAUGUGCCAAGUCAGCUUUUUUUUUGGUUUUAAAUUAUGUCACGUAUGUACUUAAAUUAAAGCUUAUUUUGUUUCAGUUGAAUAUCUAAUAAAAUUACAUAUUUGGUUACGUGUGUAUAUAACUUUUGAUAUAGCAUAUGUCAAUCAUCCGGAUAUUUGCUUAUCCGGACCACCCUUGACAUUAAUUAGUCCGGAUAAUUGGAGUUCUACUGUACUAUUUUUUUCAUAAUGUCUAUAGUGUAGAAUGGAGUGAGUAGAAACACUUUUUAACUUUAUAGUAUAGCCUAUAGGUAAUGAAAAUUAUUCUAUUUGGGUUGUAUAGUUGAUCAAUACGUCAAAAUACUAAUCUCUUCAAGUACUUAAAUUACUUUUAUUCAAAAUAUUAUAAGUAGAUUAUUUUAAAUAUUUAUAAAUAGAUUUAAUAAAAUAAAAUUACUUGUGUACAUUUAAUAGCAAAGUAGCUAUUAAUUAUUAUAUGGAAUUGUUACAUUAAAUUUAAGAUUUUUCAUACAAUUUUGUCAAAGUUAUGAUAUUUUUACAUAUGUAUUUUUAAUAAAAUUAUCAAAUGUAAGUACCUGUGUUUUUAUGAAUAUUAUUGUGAAUAACAAAUAAUACCUACAAUAAAACUUAUAUUCAAUCAA